UCUCAGCAGACUGUCGACAUUCCAGAAAAUGUCAACAUCACUCUGAAGGGACAAACAAAUAUUGUGAAGCGCCCCAGAGAGACCCUGCAGAGGAACUUCAACCACAUCAGUGUAGAUCUCAGUCUCCUUGGAAAGACAAAGAAGAGGCUCUGGGUUGGCAAACAGUGGGGAAAUACAAAGGAACUGACUAUUGUUUGAACUCUUUGUAGUCAUUAAUAGAACAUGAGCAAGGGGGUUGCACUGGGCUUCCACUGCAACAUGAGGUCCAUGUGUGCUCACUUCUCCAUCAAUGUCAUUACCCAUUACAAAGGGGAUCUGGUUGAAUUAGAAAUUUAUUGGGUGAAAAAUACAUCUGCAGAGGCCAGGUGCUGCUUGUUCAGUAUCUCAAUCCCAGAAAGAUGAGUUAAUCCUUGAAGUAAAUGACAUUGGACUUGUUUCAAAUUCAGCUACUUUGAUUGAGAAAGCUGUAACAGUUAAAAACAAGAAUAUCAGAAACUUUUUGGAUACUAUCUAUGUCUCUGAAAAAGGAAUAGUUCAGCAGUCUGAUGAAUAA
rnacentral:lncRNA from 1 species